CAAUAGCGUAUAUUAAAGUUGUUGCAGUUAAAAAGCUCGUAGUUGGAUUUCUGGUGGGAGCGAUCGGUCUGGCGCUUAGCGCGAGUACUUGCAUCGUCUCCGGCCAUCCUUGGGGAGAGUCUGUCUGGCAUUAGGUUGUCGGGCAGAGGAUCCUCAUCGUUUACUGUGAAAAAAUUAGAGUGUUCAAAGCAGGCCUAUGCCGUUGAAUAUAUUAGCAUGGAAUAAUAAGAUAGGACUUUGGUACUAUUUUGUUGGUUUGCGCACCAAAGUAAUGAUUAAUAGGGACAGUUGGGGGUAUUCGUAUUCCGUUGUCAGAGGUGAAAUUCUUGGAUUUACGGAAGACGAACUACUGCGAAAGCAUUUACCAAGGAUGUUUUCAUUAA
rnacentral:rRNA from 1 species